AUACGGAGGGUGCGAGCGUUGUUCGGAAUUAUUGGGCGUAAAGCGCGUGUAGGCGGUUGUUUAAGUCUGAUGUGAAAGCCCCGGGCUUAACUUGGGAAGUGCAUUGGAAACUGGGCAACUGGAGUACGGGAGAGGGUAGUGGAAUUCCGAGUGUAGGGGUGAAAUCCGUAGAUAUUCGGAGGAACACCGGUGGCGAAGGCGGCUCCCUGGACCGAUACUGACGCUGAGACGCGAAAGCGUGGGGAGCAAACAGGAUUAGAUACCCUGGUAGUCCACGCCGUAAACGAUGGGCACUAGGUGUCGUGGGUAUUGACCCCCGCGGUGCCGAAGCUAACGCAUUAAGUGCCCCGCCUGGGGAGUACGGUCGCAAGGCUAAAACUCAAAUGAAUUGACGGGG
rnacentral:rRNA from 1 species